UACGGAGGGAGCUAGCGUUAUUCGGAAUUACUGGGCGUAAAGCGCACGUAGGCGGCUUUGUAAGUAAGAGGUGAAAGCCCGGAGCUCAACUCCGGAAUUGCCUUUAAGACUGCAUCGCUUGAAUCAUGGAGAGGUCAGUGGAAUUCCGAGUGUAGAGGUGAAAUUCGUAGAUAUUCGGAAGAACACCAGUGGCGAAGGCGGCUGACUGGACAUGUAUUGACGCUGAGGUGCGAAAGCGUGGGGAGCGAACAGG
rnacentral:rRNA from 1 species